rnacentral:rRNA from 1 species
UACGUAGGGUGCAAGCGUUAAUCGGAAUUACUGGGCGUAAAGCGUGCGCAGGCGGCGAUGCAAGACAGAUGUGAAAUCCCCGGGCUCAACCUGGGAACUGCAUUUGUGACUGCAUUGCUAGAGUGCGGCAGAGGGAGAUGGAAUUCCGCGUGUAGCAGUGAAAUGCGUAGAUAUGCGGAGGAACACGGAUGGCGAAGGCAAUCUCCUGGGCCUGCACUGACGCUCAUGCACGAAAGCGUGGGGAGCAAACAGG